rnacentral:misc_RNA from 1 species
CCAUCUAUUAUUAUAAUAUAUUUUUUAAAAUACUGAUAUAACUGGUUAUGCACAUGUACUGUAUUUGUAUUUCAUAGCUGGUUUUUUAGUGUAGAACGAACUGUUCGUCGAGAGAUUCUACCAUAUAAGGUUACCAAUGAUCAGUGAUGUUCAAUGAACAACUGUUAUUGUGAUUGCAUUUGCUGGUGAUGUUAUUGCAUCGAAAAUAACCAAAAAGGAUACUACAUAGAUAGCUUUAGACGGUAAACAAAAAAACUGGAAUAUAGGUAAAAAAAAGAAAAGAAAAGAAAAGAAAAGUUUAUAAGGACAUGAUGUAAUGGAAUUCAGUUUACCGAAUCAGCCGUUGGUCUGGUUGGUUUUAAGAUUUGCUGAUUUACCGCUUGUGACAGGUUUUGAGAUCUGAACGAUUUACCGGUCUCGGGACUGGUAUUGAUAUCGUAUCGAUAUAUCGGUCGUGGGACCGGUGUACGAUCGUAUCGAUAUACCAGUCGUGUGACCGAUGUAGGAUCGUAUUAAUGAAUCGGUCUUGUGUCUUUUUUAAGAUCGUAUCGACUAACCGGUCGUGGGACGUGAUUAAGAUCGAUCCGAUUAAUCGAUUGUUUGUUACUCUGUGAUAACGAAUGGAUUUUUACAUUGUGAUAUUGUUGGUUAUUUAUUAUACUUCAUCCUCUUGGAGGAGAUGGUUAUUGUACAUAUGGUUUUAAUUUAUGUUAAACAUAUUUAUUGCAUUAAAUUGUUAGUU